UUUAAACUCAAUGUCAAACAAGUACUUGGUAUCUUUUGGUUUUUCUUCAUUUCUGGGCAUAAUAACAGGGCAGGUUAGGCUGCAGACAAUAAGUUGAUCGAACAUUCACUAAAUAAAACUUAAUUUAAACAGCAGAAAGAGGAUAGAACAGAGAAUCUACCACUAAAUUGAAUAAUAAUACACUACAGAAAUGAGCACAGCACAGAUGCACCAUGCUUAAUGUAUGACCGUCUGGAAAAUGAAGCUUAUUGUGCACGAACCAAACACAAGUUUAAUUCCAGAUGACCAAAACGCUCAGAACUUUUCCGGCCUAACUGAGUAUAAACUCUCAAUCAAUGACAAGGAAUGACGAUGCAUUUCAUACUGAGAAUUAUGCAAUAAUGUUUUCCAGGCAUGCCUACUUCCCAUGAGAAAUGAUUGCAGUUAUGGGGCUAAAUGUAUGCUCUAUACAAAUAUUGUACAUUUAACUGUUCCUGAAACAAGAUAAACGUAUAAUGAAUUCAACUUUUUUGCAGAAUCUUCUAUGAACUCCUCUUGGGCCAAGUACAACCAGCAAUGAGACUUCUGUCGUAGGUCUUGGCCACACACAACCUGAAGAGCGACAGAACCAGAACAAGCAAGGCCAAAACCCAUUUUUCUCAGUAUUCAGGUGUUUAAGGAUAGAUCUCCAGUUGACACCUCAAACAUCAAUUACAAGAGGAGGUAAUUUCCAGAAAUUCCAUGAAUUAUAAUCCUCCUGCUCAGACGAUGUCCUGGCUGGGAACAUGCCAUGCACAAGAGCAUGAAGGGAAGUAUAUGAUCUUGUGUCAACAAGGCGGUUCACGGCAACCUCACCCUUGGGAUUAAUGAUGAAGAUCUUUCCCUUUGGGAUUCCAACCUUUAGGUAGCUAAUCUCAUCAGUAUCUCUAUUACCAAAACCAGCAUAGAAAGGGUUGCAAUCAGAAGGAAACAAUUCCCUGAUUUCCUUCAGGCAUGCAAUCUUGAAUUCAUGAGGAGCCCUUCUAAUGACUUCACGAUAUAGAGAGGGGAAAAGUCCAUCAGGGGAUAUAACAACAGGACCAUCUGGCAGAGCUUUUCCAUCCUGCUUAAGGUUAACUAGGAACUGUCUAGUAAUAUAGGCUUGAGCAAUUGCACGUGCACUUAGAUAAAGGAAUUGAUACCCAUUAUCCUUAAUAGCUGAAAAUAAAUGUGCAACGCCAGUUUGUGACCAAUCUAUCCCAACCAAAGGCAUGAACUGACCUAGAACAUCUGAUUUUGUUAUUGUCCCAUCAACAUCUGAGAUCACUAUGCUAGUGUUCCAUUUCCACAAAUAAAUUCUAGCAUCAACCUUCUGCUUCCCCAGCAUUGCUGUGGAGAAGGUGAAUGUUACUGUAUUACUCCCUUCCUUCAGAUUCAAGGAUGCCAGCUCUUCCGAUGUUGGAGCAGUUGCCUUUAUCAUCUUGACUGAGGCCUUUCCUUCGAGCAUACUUUUAUCAUCAUCCAUGCAAAUGCUGCUGUCUGAAACAAUCAAAUCAUCAGAACUUCUGGUAUCACUUAGAGCUGGCUGCAUGGUCUUCCUGUAUCUUGAUCUUCCAAAUGGGAAAGGCCAAAGUCUCCAGCUUCCGCCAGUGGUAUUUUCUGAUGGAUACUCUACAGGAGAUUUCUCAACUCGAUCAACAGGUAUCAUGCCUUUUGGUUCAAAUAUGUUUUCAUUUCCAAAUGCUACCAGUCCUAAAACAAUAGGAGCAGCUACAUCCCAAGGAAAGUAAUGGCCACCAAUUCUAACAACAAGCCUUUCAUUCUUCACAACUGCAGGACCUAUAGAAGUAAAUUUUCUUAUAUCCAACUUUUCAGCAUCAAAUGCUUGAGAAGCAGCUUCAGUUCCCAUUCCUUCAUAUAAUGAGUGUUUGCAAAGAGAUAUCUCUGCAUACAGCACAAAGCAUGUGCCCAUCAAUUGGUUUCUGCAUAAGGAGUGUUUAACAACUACAACAAUCAACAAGCCCACCCUUUGCUCCACUGCAUUUUUUUUGCAGUUUAAAUGAAUAAUUUAGAGAUCAUUUUUAAAACUGAAAAAGAAACUGUUAGUAUAAGGAGGAAAUGUCAACAAAAAAAAAAUGUUGCAGAAUGGAAAUAAAAAAUAUAUUGCUGUGUGAACAGAGCAACAUAAUAUACACUAACAAAAGUUACUAAGAGAACCUAUGAUCCCUUUAAAAGAUUUGAAAAAGACAACAAGCUUUUGUAUCAGUACAUUGUCCAACCAAAAUGAAAUCAACGCAUGCCCACAAAAUAAGAGUGGUAUAAAAGCACUCCAAGUAUUCAUACCAACAGCAGGAUUGCUAACAUCAUUUUUGAUAUCUUCCAAAUGAUGAGUAUCUUCCUUAUUGGAAUAAUCCUCCACUGACUUAUUUUCAUUGCCUGUAACUGAACUUGUAAAGUGUGACUCAUUCUUGCUCUGCAAUUUCCACUCCAGGGAUUCAGAAUUCAAGUCCAGUGAAUGGCUUGGAAAGCUAGGGUCCUCUGCACCUAGAUUAUCAAUGUGGGACCUUAAAUCGAGUAAUGAUUCUGCCACCUGCACAACUUCUACAUCUGCAACGCUCUGUUGUUUAGGAAUACGAACAGGACUUGAUGUUAAAUUUGAAUUUUCUGUCAAGUUUUUGAAGUCACCCAAUCCAUUAUCUUGAACAAAGUUGUCCGGAGAAGAAUAAGAUUCAUCAUUUGUAUUUAGCAGCCCAUCCACUAUAUUAAUUCCUUCUGGACAAAAUGAGGAAUAAUUUUCUUUAUCAACAACAUCUGGAAAAUUUGAAUCACCCCGAGUUUCUUUGAGUUCAAAGUCAUCAAUAUCACUCAAGAAGAAUUUGUCUUCCCCUGAACUCCCAGACACUCGAAUUGUAGCUGCUUUUGUUGGGUUAAAAUCACCAUUAAGUUGUUCCAAAUCACCAGCUGACUCUAGAGAAGGUUGCAGUUCAUCCCUAGUAAUUUUAUCCCCAAUAUUCAUUUCAUCUUGAAUUUGAUCAACUGAAUUGCUAAAACUGGAAACAGGGCUAAUGCACUUUGACUCUACCUCAACUGAACCAAGAACAGAGUCAACAUGGACUGUUUGAGCACAGGAUGUUAACACUGUUAAUGGUACUUCAAGAUUUGCCUCAUCAUGGCCAGGUAUGGAAGAAGAAGAUGGAUUUGUUUCACAAGAUUCAAUGUGUCCUUGCUCCAACUCUAUAUCCUCAGCUUGCAGGUUAACUGUAUCCUGAAUGUAAAUUCUACCACUUCAGUGUCAACAGAAUCAGAAGUUAUCAAGUGCAUAUAAAUUAAAGAAACUGAUUAAUCUAAAGUUUAGGUACAACCUGAGCCAAGUUGAAUAUCUGCAGAGUUUCAGUUUCACUCAGCAAAGAAUGCAUAAGCACAAGCUUGGCUCAAGCUAAAUACAACCACAGCCAUAGUUACCUAAGCUCAGAUUGGCUCAUUGAUUGUUCCACAUGCAACCAAGCCAAGCUUGAC
rnacentral:misc_RNA from 1 species